rnacentral:rRNA from 1 species
AUUGAACGCUGGCGGAAUGCUUUACACAUGCAAGUCGAACGGCGGCACGGACUUCGGUCUGGUGGCGAGUGGCGAACGGGUGAGUAAUGUAUCGGAACGUGCCCAGUCGUGGGGGAUAACGUAGUGAAAAUUACGCUAAUACCGCAUACGAUCUAUGGAUGAAAGCGGGGGAUCGCAGGACCUCGCGCGAUUGGAGCGGCCGAUAUCAGAUUAGGUAGUUGGUGGGGUAAAGGCCCACCAAGCCAACGAUCUGUAGCUGGUCUGAGAGGACGACCAGCCACACUGGAACUGAGACACGGUCCAGACUCCUACGGGAGGCAGCAGUGGGGAAUUUUGGACAAUGGGCGAAAGCCUGAUCCAGCCAUUCCGCGUGCAGGAUGAAGGCCCUCGGGUUGUAAACUGCUUUUGCACAGAACGAAAAGGUUUCUACUAAUACUAGGAGCUCAUGACGGUACUGUAAGAAUAAGCACCGGCUAACUACGUGCCAGCCGCCGCAGUAA